UACGUAGGUGGCAAGCGUUGUCCGGAUUUACUGGGCGUAAAGGGCGCGUAGGCGGUCCGGCGCGUCCGGGGUGAAAGCCUCCAGCUUAACUGGAGAAGUGCCCCGGAUACGGCCGGACUCGAGUGGGGUAGGGGCGUGUGGAACUUCCGGUGGAGCGGUGAAAUGCGUAGAUAUCGGAAGGAACGCCGGUGGCGAAAGCGGCACGCUGGACCCCUUCGUGACGCUGAGGCGCGAAAGCCAGGGGAGCGAACGGG
rnacentral:rRNA from 1 species